GACGAACGCUGGCGGCGUGCCUAAUACAUGCAAGUAGAACGCUGAAGAGAGGAGCUUGCUCUUCUUGGAUGAGUUGCGAACGGGUGAGUAACGCGUAGGUAACCUGCCUUGUAGCGGGGGAUAACUAUUGGAAAUGAUAGCUAAUACCGCAUAGCAAUGGAUGACACAUGUCAUUUAUUUGAAAGGGGCAAUUGCUCCACUACAAGAUGGACCUGCGUUGUAUUAGCUAGUAGGUGAGGUAAUGGCUCACCUAGGCGACGAUACAUAGCCGACCUGAGAGGGGGAUCGGCCACACUGGGACUGAGACACGGCCCAGACUCCUACGGGAGGCAGCAGUAGGGAAUCUUCGGCAAUGGGGGCAACCCUGACCGAGCAACGCCGCGUGAGUGAAGAAGGGUUUCGGAUCGUAAAGCUCUGUUGUAAGUCAAGAACGGGUGUGAGAGUGGAAAGUUCACACUGUGACGGUAGCUUACCAGAAAGGGACGGCUAACUACGUG
rnacentral:rRNA from 1 species